rnacentral:rRNA from 1 species
UACGUAGGCAGCGAGCGUUGUUCGGAAUUACUGGGCGUAAAGCGCGUGUAGGCGGCCAUCUAAGUCGGGCGUGAAAUCCCACGGCUCAACCGUGGAAGUGCACUCGAAACUGGAUGGCUAGAGUCCUGGAGAGGAAGGUGGAAUGCUUGGUGUAGAGGUGAAAUUCGUAGAUAUCAAGCGGAACACCGGUGGCGAAGGCGGCCUUCUGGACAGUGACUGACGCUGAGACGCGAAAGCGUGGGGAGCAAACAGG